GAUGAACGCUGGCGGCGUGCUUAAUACAUGCAAGUCGAACGGAAAGGCGCUGCUCUUGCGGGGUGGUCGAGUGGCGAAGGGGGGUGUAACACGCGUGUAAAACGUCCCUGUAUUUCGGAUAUCUUCAGGAAACAGGGGCGCAUACCGGAUAGGAGCUUUUGCUGCAUGGGGGGGGUAGGUGAGAUUCGGCGGUUGUGGCUGGACUAGCGGCUUAUCAGCUUGUUGGUGGAGUAGUGGAUUACCAAGGCUUUGAAGGGUAGCCGGCCUGAGAGGGGGACCGGCCACAUUGGGACUGAGAUACGGCCCAGACGCCAACCGGACGCAGCAGUGGAGAAUAUUGCGCAGUGAGCGGGAGCCUGAGGCAGCAACGCCGCGUGCGUGAUAACCGCCUUCGAGUUAUGAACCGCUUUCGCCUGUAACGAAGCGUGAUUGACGGUAAUGAGUAAGAAAGCACCGGCUAACUACGUG
rnacentral:rRNA from 1 species